rnacentral:rRNA from 1 species
CCUACGGGUGGCAGCAGUCGGGAAUAUUGCGCAAUGGAGGAAACUCUGACGCAGUGACGCCGCGUAUAGGAAGAAGGUUUUCGGAUUGUAAACUCUUUUCUUUAGGGAAGAGAAAGGACAGUACCUAAGGAUGAAGCUCUUGCUAACUACGUGCCAGCAGCCGCGGUAAUACGUAGGGAGCGCGCGUUAUCCGGCAUUAUUGGGUGUAAAGGGUGCUUAGACGGGAAUGCAAGUUAGUUGUGAAAUCCCUCGUCUUAACUGAGGAACUGCAACUAAACCUACAGUUCUUGAGUGCAGGAGAGGUAAGUGGAAUUCCUAGUGUAGCGGUGAAAUGCAUAGAUAUCACGCAGAACUCCGAUUGCGAAGGCAGCAUACCGGCGCCCGACUGACGCUGAAGCACGAAAGCGUGGGUAUCGAACAGGAUUAGAUACCCCAGUAGUC